rnacentral:rRNA from 1 species
AACUUCUAACGGUGGACCCCUCGGCUCGUGCAUCGAUGAAGAACGCAGCAAGCUGCGAUACCUAGUGUGAAUUGCAGAAUUCAGUGAAUCAUCGAGUCUUUGAACGCAAAUGGCGCUCCUGGCUUCCACCAGGAGCACGUCUGUCUGAGCGUUC